UGCAGUCGAACGUGAAAGCACUUCGGUGUGAGUAGAGUGGCGGACGGGUGAGUAACGCGUGGGAAUCUGCCCAGUAGUGGGGGACAACUACCGGAAACGGUAGCUAAUACCGCAUACGCCCUAUGGGGGAAAGGCUUCGGCCGCUAUUGGAUGAGCCCGCGUCAGAUUAGCUAGUUGGUAGGGUAAAGGCCUACCAAGGCAACGAUCUGUAGCUGGUCUGAGAGGACGAACAGCCACACUGGGACUGAGACACGGCCCAGACUCCUACGGGAGGCAGCAGUGGGGAAUAUUGGACAAUGGGCGAAAGCCUGAUCCAGCAAUGCCGCGUGUGUGAAGAAGGCCUGCGGGUUGUAAAGCACUUUCAGUUGGGAAGAUGAUGACGUUACCAACAGAAGAAGCACCGGCUAAAUCCGUGCCAGCAGCCGCGGUAAUACGGAUGGUGCGAGCGUUAAUCGGAAUUACUGGGCGUAAAGCGCGCGUAGGCGGCUAAGUCAGUCAGAAGUGAAAGCCCCGGGCUCAACCUGGGAAUUGCUUUUGAUACUGCUUGGCUAGAGUUUGGUAGAGGAUAGUGGAAUUCCAGGUGUAGCGGUGAAAUGCGUAGAUAUCUGGAGGAACAUCAGUGGCGAAGGCGACUGUCUGGACCAAAACUGACGCUGAGGUGCGAAAGCGUGGGUAGCAAACAGGAUUAGAUACCCUGGUAGUCCACGCCGUAAACGAUGUCAACUAGCCGUCGGGUCUAUUUACAGACUUGGUGGCGCAGCUAACGCGAUAAGUUGACCGCCUGGGGAGUACGGCCGCAAGGUUAAAACUCAAAGGAAUUGACGGGGGCCCGCACAAGCGGUGGAGCAUGUGGUUUAAUUCGAUGCAACGCGAA
rnacentral:rRNA from 1 species